UAUAUUGAAGCUUGAACACAACAAGAACAAUAUUUUGGCGCUGCUACCGGGGAAAUGAUAACAAUAUGAAAUGUUAGAAAUUGAUUGUAUGAGAGAUGGAAUUAUAUGUUGAAUAGGAAUGUGAAAAGAACCAGUUUUAGAGUUACAAAUAUGUGAGUUAUAAUUCAAGGCAGUAUUGAUUUUGUAAAGAAGAAUGAAAGAUUAUAAGUGAUAAUCAUAAAAGAGAGGAUUAUCAAAGAAUUAAUCGACAAGCAAAAGAGAGAUCGGA
rnacentral:lncRNA from 1 species